UUGGAGAAGGAACUCGGCAAAUUGACACCGUAACUUCGGGAGAAGGUGUGCCUCUAGUAGGUGAACCCGUACAGGGGGAGCCCAAUGAGGUCUCAGAAAAUCGGUGGCUGCGACUGUUUAUUAAAAACACAGCACUCUGCAAACACGAAAGUGGACGUAUAGGGUGUGACGCCUGCCCGGUGCUGGAAGGUUAAGUGAUGGGGUGCAAGCUCCUGAUCGAAGCCCCAGUAAACGGCGGCCGUAACGAUAACGGUCCUAAGGUAGCGAAAUUCCUUGUCGGGUAAGUUCCGACCUGCACGAAUGGCGUAACGCUGGCCACACUGUCUCCUCCAGAGACUCAGCGAAGUUGAAAUGGUUGUGAUGAUGCAAUCUACCCGCGGCUAGACGGAAAGACCCCGUGCACCUUUACUGUAACUUUGCAUUGGACUGUGAACCGAUCUGUGUAGGAUAGCUGGGAGGCUUUGAAGUGGGGGCGCUAGCUCUCAUGGAGCCAACGUUGAAAUACCAGCCUGAUUGUUUUGCGGUUCUAACCUAGGCUCGUCAUCCGGGCCGGGGAUCGUGCAUGGUAGGCAGUUUGACUGGGGCGGUCUCCUCCCAAAGAGUAACGGAGGAGUACGAAGGUACGCUUACCACGGUCGGAAAUCGUGGCUUAAUGUGCAUUGGCAAAAGCGUGCUUGACUGCGAGACGUACAUGUCGAGCAGGUGCGAAAGCAGGUCAAAGUGAUCCGGUGGUUCUGUAUGGAAGGGCCAUCGCUCAACGGAUAAAAGGUACGCCGGGGAUGACAGGCUGAUUCCUCCCAAGAGUUCAUAUCGACGGGGGAGUUUGGCACCUCGAUGUCGGCUCAUCACAUCCUGGGGCUGUAGCCGGUCCCAAGGGUAUGGCUGUUCGCCAUUUAAAGUGGUACGUGAGCUGGGUUUAAAACGUCGUGAGACAGUUUGGUCCCUAUCUACCGUGGGCGUUGGAAGUUUGAGGGGGGCUGCUCCUAGUACGAGAGGACCGGAGUGGACGCAUCCCUGGUGUACCGAUUGUCACGCCAGUGGCAUUGUCGGGUAGCUAUAUGCGGAAGGGAUAACCGCUGAAAGCAUCUAAGCGGGAAACCUGCCCCAAGAUGAGACUUCCCGGAGGCUUGACCUCCCUAAAGGGUCGUCCUAGACCAGGACGUUGAUAGGCUGGGUGUGCAAGGGCUGCGAGGCCUUCAGCUAACCAGUACUAAUUGCCCGUGUGGCUUGACCC
rnacentral:rRNA from 1 species